UUUCGAUGGAUCUGCGGUCGACCCGGAGAAGGUCCGUUGCUCUUAAUCCGUCGCCAUCCUCGGCCUGCAGGAAGAUCAGCUCCAGAUCAACUCGCCCCAAUUCUUUCAAACGAUCCUCUCUUCCCAAUGUAGGCACAAUUGGGAUCCACUAGAUCGAAAAAGAUCCCGGUCCGGGGGAAGGGAGGAAUCGAUGCAUGCAGCAAAUAGGAUCUCUGCAAAAAAAAAAAAAAUUUGGGUCGAUGGGAUUCUGCAGCUCAGCAUUCCAGAUGCAAGCAGCACGGAUGUCUCUGCGUCACAGAGCGCGUGAACCUGCAAGGAUCCGCCGAUGGUUAAGAUGCACCGUGGAGCUAUUAGAGACGAUGGAUCCACUUUAGAGAAAAGUUUCUAAAGUGGAAAUGAAUCUUCUUGAAAGUCCCUGAAGAUUGUCCCUCCUUGCGUCAUCAAAAAUGGAAAAGCCGGUCACAGCGCUCUUGCAUGAUGGGAGAACGAACCGAAAAUAACUUGCAAGGAACGGCCCAAACAUAGGCAGGAUGGAAUGGUAAUCGUGAAGACGUUUGAAAAGAAGACACAAGCUUGUCCACAUGUUUUCGAAUCAAGAAGAAUUUUUGUUUUGUUUUUUUGGUGGAAUAAUGAAAAGCUGAAAUGGCUCCUGGCAGUAUCCUUCUGCCUUCAAAUGCCUGGAGCAUCUGAAAAUCAAGACCUGGUGGAGGGAAAAAAAAACAAAACUGCAGAGGUGUGCUUUGGGGUUCUCUUUUUUUAAAAAAAAUAACAAAACCCAACCAUGUAUAACUAAAAAAAGUUUGCUGGUACUUAGAAACUGGAAGUUGGAAAAAAAAACCCUUAUACCUACAAAUCAAGAGGAUGUUUUUCUAUUUGUGGAAAGGUGGCAGCUUGGUACAUGUCAGGAAAAAUGUAUCAGCAAUCAGUUCUGUAUAUGGUAAAUUUCUUUUACAUGUGUACAAAAUUGCUACUAUUAAUAAACGCACUGGUUUGAAAAA